GACGAACGCUGGCGGCGUGCUUAACACAUGCAAGUCGAACGGAAAGGCCCUGCUUGCCGGGUACUCGAGUGGCGAACGGGUGAGUAACACGUGGGUUAUCUGCCCUGCACUUCGGGAUAAGCCUGGGAAACUGGGUCUAAUACCGGAUAGGAGCCAUUUUUAGUGUGAUGGUUGGAAAGUUUUUUCGGUGUAGGAUGAGCUCGCGGCCUAUCAGCUUGUUGGUGGGGUAAUGGCCUACCAAGGCGGCGACGGGUAGCCGGCCUGAGAGGGUGGACAGCCACAUUGAGACUGAGAUACGGCCCAGACUCCGACGGGAGGCAGCAGUGGGGAAUAUUGCACAAUGGGCGCAAGCCUGAUGCAGCGACGCCGCGUGGGGGAUGACGGCCUUCGGGUUGUAAACUCCUUUCGCUAGGGACGAAGCUUUUUGUGACGGUACCUAGAUAAGAAGCACCGGCUAACUACGUG
rnacentral:rRNA from 1 species